GACGAACGCUAGCGGCGUGCUUAACACAUGCAAGUCGAGCGGUAAGGCCCUUCGGGGUACACGAGCGGCGAACGGGUGAGUAACACGUGGGUGAUCUGCCUUGCACUUCGGGAUAAGCCUGGGAAACUGGGUCUAAUACCGGAUABGACCUYSSNNUGCAUGYUSKKKGGUGGAAAGAUUUAUCGGUGCGAGAUGGGCCCGCGGCCUAUCAGCUUGUUGGUGAGGUAACGGCUCACCAAGGCGACGACGGGUAGCCGACCUGAGAGGGUGACCGGCCACACUGGGACUGAGACACGGCCCAGACUCCUACGGGAGGCAGCAGUGGGGAAUAUUGCACAAUGGGCGAAAGCCUGAUGCAGCGACGCCGCGUGCGGGAUGACGGCCUUCGGGUUGUAAACCGCUUUUGACAGGGACGAAGCGCAAGUGACUGUACCUGUAGAAUAAGGACCGGCCAACUACGUG
rnacentral:rRNA from 1 species